rnacentral:rRNA from 1 species
AGUGAACGCUGGCGGCAGGCCUAACACAUGCAAGUCGAACGGCAGCACAGGAGAGCAUGCUCUCUGGGUGGCGAGUGGCGGACGGGUGAGGAAUACAUCGGAAUCUACCUUUUCGUGGGGGAUAACGUAGGGAAACUUACGCUAAUACCGCAUGCGACCUUAGGGUGAAAGCGGAGGACCUUCGGGCUUCGCGCGGAUAGAUGAGCCGAUGUCGGAUUAGCUAGUUGGCGGGGUAAAGGCCCACCAAGGCGACGAUCCGUAGCUGGUCUGAGAGGAGGAUCAGCCACACUGGAACUGAGACACGGUCCAGACUCCUACGGGAGUCAGCAGUAGGGAAUAUUGGACAAUGGGCGCAAGCCUGACCCAGCCAUGCCGCGUGAGUGAAGAAGGCCUUCGGGUUGUAAAGCUCUUUUGUCCGGAAAGAAAAGCUUCGGGUUAAUACCCUGGAGUCCUGACGGUACCGGAAGAAUAAGCACCGGCUAACUUCGUGCCAGCAGCCGCCGUAAGAC